CAGGUGUAGUUUAAUGGUAGAACCCAAGCCUUCCAAGCUUGAUACGGGAGUUCGAUUCUCCUCACCUG
rnacentral:tRNA from 1 species